rnacentral:lncRNA from 1 species
AUUGUCUUCUUACCCUUCCAGAAAGCCUAUAUCAACCAAUCAUUCAAAACUAGGACAUAGAAAUGCCAAAAGUACAUAAACAGAAUGCCACCUUAUGAAUCUCCACAGUAAAAUUAUCAAUCUUUUCUCAUGUCAUUCAACAUUGUUUUCAUAAUUUUCUCACUUUCAUACAAGGAGUAUAUAUUCAAAAAACAAAGAAACAGAAAAAUCAGUUAUAUUGGCAAGAAAAGGACUUUCCCCAGUUAGACGAACAUUUGUGAAUAAGAUUGAUUGGACAGAGUUUCUACUGGAUAUGAGGUAGUUGGCUGAAGAAGAGAAAAAUUGAUCACUGAUGUCUGCACACUUUCUUUGAGCAUAGAAACUCCCAAGCUUAAUUAAUCUUCCAAACCAUCGAUCAAAUACACUAUUCUGAGUGAGACCGUGGAAAGGGCAUCUCAGCAAAAAAAAUCCAACAACAAAUUUUACUAUACAGGAGCUAUAUUUUAUUCCAAAAGGAGACGGUCUUUGAUCUUGAAGCCCAAAUCAAUAUAUAUAUACUAGGAGCUUCUGGCUUCUCCCUGGUGUAAUAAAAAGUGAGCUACAAAAUGACCCAGAGCAGGUCCCACCUCAGAAUUACCUUCAUCUGGUCAUUUUCUUGACACCUCAUAAUUGUUACAGUUUCUUAGGCAGGUUGUAAUUUUUAUUGAGAAUGCACAUACCAUUACUGUAAUAUAUAUUACAGUCCUCAAGCUUCCUCUAUAUUCAAUGGGGUGUGUCUUAAAAUAUAGAGGGAACUAAAGGCAUACUGCCUAACUACCCUUAUCCAAAUAACAAAAUAAACAAAGGAGCCUAUUGUGAAGUCUUCAUCUUUGAUAUCUCCUCCAACAAUAAUCUGGAUUCAGCUGCAAAAUCAACUGCCACAACAGCCCUGGCUGUUAUCCACUGCCUUUUCUCAUUCAUGUAUUCAUGUUGUGCAACACUAAUCCGGAAAAGAUGAGGGACCCAAAUAGCUUCCUUCAAUUUCUGCUGGAAUCGGUUCUCCUCUCCCUCCUGCAGAGAAAAUUGGGUUUUUAAAACAUCAGAUUUUGAAUGCCAGAAGUUCAUCCUUUUUUUCUUCCAUAGAACCCAACUAGGCUACCAAAUAAGUAACCAACUACAUAUGAAUUAACGCAUCAAUGAGCAACUCUUUCAAGUUAACUAAGAUUUGGACAAACUCCUAGAUAUUUCAAUAUUGUCAAGAGUUUACCUGUGAUUUAAGCUUAUCAAGCUCAUCAGCAGAGCACCCAAAUAUUCUCUCUGCUUGUUCAUUAAACAGAGCAAGGCAAGCUUCACCACUAUCAUCUGAAACUUUCACUACCAUUAUGUACCUGGAAAACAUAACAGAAUGUAACAAAGAAACAUCAUUCAUAGGACAACUUUUCCUAUUUUAAAUACUAUCACUGAAUUCUUAUUGAUUCAAAUUCCAUGAAUCCCUCACCUUCAACUGCACUCAUCAUCAUUCUUUUCACAUCCUUCACACCAAUACCCAGAUUCAAUAGCAUCUGUGACUUUCUUGUUGCAUGUCUUACAAGCCUGGUACCACAUUGUUUGCUCAGGCUUGAUGAAGCUUAUGUAUGCUCUGAUGCUAAAAAAUGAAGGCUGUACAGAGACAAGCCCACAUUAUCAAAACUUAAAAUGGUUUUAACUUAAAACUUUGGCUAAGACCAGUUUGAUCAUGUUAGGUUAUUUUAAUGACAGUAAUUAUUACCUUGUCUUCACCCAAAGAUGGGUUGCUGGUUACAUGAGAAAGGGAAACCCUGUCAUAGUACAUGGACCUCACUCCACCCUUAGAUGAAGGACUGAUAUCAGACCCAAUACAAGCCAUUGAAGCUACUUUACCAUGGUAAUCAUGAUACCUGUGAACAAGAACAUAUGGUCAGAAACACUUACUACAAGAACUAACAAGGUAAUAGGUCACUGGAUGAUUCCUUACCAGGAUCUCAACUUUUUUGAUUCCGGUGUAUCUGGAUUUACCAGUGCAAUACUUUUACUCAAUGUUGACAGUGAUACACCUAAAACAAGAUAUGAAGAGAACAUUACAAAGAGGACUUCUUAUCAUUCUCAAGUUUUUGAGAAUGUGCUUAAUUGCCAUAAUAAUACCAAACUUCAAGAAAACAAGGGGAAUUACCUUGGAAGUCUCCAACUUUGAGAGAUUUAAUUGCAAUAAUUGGAAAUUUAUCAGCAUUAUCCAACAAUUCCUACCCUACAUUAGUAGCAUGAUCAUUCCACAAAGAGACCACAACACUCUUCUUCCUACAAUUGAAACGUCCAUAAGUUCAAUAUGAAGCAACAUUAGACCAAAGUGACCAGUGCAAAAAAUAAAAUAUACACUCACGACUUGUCCGCAAUAGUAAUAUCACGCUUAGGAACAAUCUCAUUGGUACUCUUCCUUCGUAUGGUCAUUGUAGGAGAGACACUUUGAACAACUCCACUAACAUCUGGAAUUAAUAAUGAUAUGGGUCAUAUUAAACAAAAGAACGAGUGAACAGGAAAAUAAUCCUUUGUUGAUUCUAAGAUUGGUUCUUACCUACAAGCUCCUUCCCAUUGACAUAAGGACCCAACUCUUCAAUGUCAAAAAUUUGAAUUUUGCUUCAGGGAUAAAAGUUUCUUCAUUACUGGCCUCCUCAACCUCUGAAUUUUCAUUCAGGGUCAUUCCAUAAUCAUUUUGUACAGUUUUAAACUGCUUGUUGGCUACUUUUAGAGCUCCUUUUCAUAUGUAAUAGACCUUCCCCAAUUGUCUGUGUUUUCUCUAUAUGAUCAUCCAUUGAAAUUUUGGAAUUUCGGUUACAAAUUCCUAGUAUUGCCAAUAUAGAAAAACUACAAACCCCAUCCAUCAUAAAAACAGACAACUCUGUUCAACACACCUCAGACAUGUCUCUCUAUUACCAUAGGAAAACAAUCAUUAAUUAAAUCAAAAACGAAAAAAAUGGGAAGGGAUGCAAAACUUUGCAUUGGAAUCUGGAAUGACCUAGUUGCUGAGUAUAGCUUAACAUAUUAAAAAAGGAACCAGGAGGGAAAAAAUGUGGGUAUAAAGACCUGGAAAGAAUGAUCACAACUGCCUCCACUCUUCGCCAGCAUAAACCGCUAUUUCCCCAAGCUCUUCUUCAAUCUGAAUCAACUGAAAGAAAUUUAGCAGUUAAUUUCAUAUUUUCCUUGUUGUACAUCUAAACCACAUGAUUUCACAAACUUGCGUUUGUGAUCAAAAGCUAAAGACUUUUUGAACUGUUGACUACAUUAGCUAAAAGACUAAAAGAUCAUGAAAGAGCUGAGUUUUGGGGUUUCAUGCGAUUUUUUUGUUCAGGAGUCAGUGAUUCACGAAUGUAUACUACAAUAAUGACUAGGGAGAAACUAAAUCAGGAUAUGUUAAUUAGAGUUCUUCCGACGUUGCAUUAUAUUCUCCUGCUCAUUUGGAGCCUGCUUUUCUGUAUGUGCAAAAGCUUUAUCUCCCUCUAAAGCUAGGGAGAAACUGCAUUGUCAAAGCAUUUUUCAACCCAAAAAGACCCAGUAAACGCUCCGCUUGUUUUUAUGGAAAACAAAAUCUUGGAAAGAGAGGACACUAUGCCAUCAGAUGAGCAUUAUAUCACAACUAUGGUAAUAUCUGCAAGUUACUUGAAUAUUUGCAAAAUAUUACACAAAUGAAUUAUGAACAUCCUUCCCAUUUUCUGGAAAGCAGUCUCCUAGAUAAUUAUUAUUUUUUUUUUAAAUCUGGAGAUCAAGAGAAAGCAUUCUUUAUCCUAAAAAUAACCUUGACAGUUAACAUAACCUGAAGAAUUAUGUAGUAGUGCAAUAUACAAAACUACAAAUUAAAUUAGCAAAAAAUACAAGGGUCAGAAAGGAGGAAGAUGCAUAUUAUUUUCCAGUUGAAAAUGAAACAGAUGAAGGUACAUGACUAAUUAUGCAAAACAAGUACUUCUUAGUUUAAAUCAUCAUCAAUUUCAUGCCAAUGAAGAGCAAAUCAGAGAAAAGUCAAAUUGUUAUAGGGUGUAACAUACCUUUGAAAUAGUGUAAACUGCCAAGCUUAGUACCGGUAGACAAUUCCCACAUGUACACAAGUCCAUCAUGUGUACCAAUGAUCCCAUGACUAGCUGAAGCACCAAUAGCAGCUGCCCUGCACAGUGAGAUGAUUUAAAUACUGACUACAUCAGUCAAUCAGCCUUUUAAAAUAAGAAAAUAAGUUGUGGAUUCCCGGUCAGACUUCAGUUGAAAUAAUAGUUUCAACACUAGUUAUUGUCCAUCAGAGCUUCAAGUGCAUGAUACGUUUUAGGUUCAUGCUUAAUGUUCCAGAAGUAUAUUCCUCAUACUAGUUUCCCAGAAAAGAACAUUCACUAGUACUUGUCUUAUUAACCCAUCUCCUUGUACUAAAAGGAUUUAAAGUAAUGAAUAAUAAUCUAUUAAGUGGGGGCCACUUAAAUGUUCCUUGGAAAUUAAAACAUCACUUUGCAGUUACCAUAGCUUUCUGGAUCAAAUCCACCUUUAAGGUGAAACCCAUAACAAGACCAAAGUGGCACAAUAAUGAUUUAUGUUUCCAAAAACCUGGACUCACAUCAUUCCUGAAAUCUUAAAUAUCAUCCUAUGCAUGCCAUGAAACAAUUUUAUUACAAAUGCUAUUAAAACAUUCAGAAGGUCAUGCAAAAACACAAUGGAACCACUUCUUUUCUAUGGAACAUUUAAGUGCCCCUCAAUGUUUAGAACUAGGAAGCCUUCAUCCCAAUGCUUUAAAAAGACAUAAAGCAAAAUCAUUACAUGAGAUACAGUAUAUGUUGUAUUUAGAUACUGUUUUAAAACACUAGAAAGCACCUUGGACCUAAUGCACUUCCCAGGAUGACCAUAUUUUUCACCAGGAGAGCUAGUCUCCACCAUCCAACUGGAUUUGUUUGGCAAUCAUUCAUUUGAUUGUCAUGCUGAGUGUCAGAGUCAGAAAGAGUUGCAACAAGAAGCCACACAGCAAUGCUUUCCCCCCCUAAUGGAAGAAAGGUGUAAUUUUCAUUGUGCUUUGAGAACCACAUUUUUGUUGCAGCCAUUAUUUUGUUGAUGUGAAAAUCCACAUCAGGAUAGCUGGAAAGAGGAACCUCACUUUGGAAACUAAACAAGCUGAUUGGAAUGAACUCGAAAAUUGAAAUGCUUGGCAUUGCGAACCUUGAUAUGAGGAUGCGUUGGGAAAUGUCCCUGAAAGAAGUAAAAACAGGUGUGCAUCAUCAAAUAACAAGAAUAACAAGAAUUACAGGACAGGCUGAUGCAGCUUAAAUGUUGAUAAACUUUGUAAUAAGAGAAUUUAAUGAAAGUACAAAAAAACUUCAAAAAAAAAUUGGAAUUUAUAAGAACCAUAAGUGGCAAUAAAAACUAAAUAGUCAAUCACAUUAAACUCACCUGGGGAAACGUUGUAAUAAGAUACAAACUGAUUCCACAUUCCAGAAAUUGUAGAGGUAGUAAUUACAAUGAAGCACCAGAACAUAACAAAUUGGAUGAAACAAAAAUACUAGCAAAAGAUAACCAAAGAACAGAAAAUAAAAUCCUGGAGUGCCAGACGUAAAAGGCCAUAUUUUGACUAAAUUUUAUUUUUAAAAAAAAAUUAUCAUGAGAAGGACUUGUUGACCCUUAGAAUAAUUGAAUGCUGCUGGUUGAUGGUUAUUCCAUGUUUGUGUGUGUUCCAUCUUUGUUUCCAAGGCUUAUGGUCCAGGACUUCCUCACUUUAGAAGAGGGAAAAACAAUUCACUAGUCACAGUGGCUGACUUUUUAUCAAGCUUAUUAUAAGUUCACAUUUGGAUCAAGUUAAAUCCUUUUUAAAUGACUGAUCAUUACAGGCAUUUUCCUUCACACAAUUAAGAGUAUCUUGAUGUUUUUUCAUGACCUAGUAAUACGUUUCAGUUUCCACUAGAAACAAAAUUAAGUAAUAGAAGCCUGAUCUUUAUAAUUUAUAAUACAGAAGAAUCUGCAGAUGAUAUGAAUAUGAUAAUAGAAGUUAUAACAUUAAGAAAUUGAUCUAGACAACAGAGUUCCUUAACUUUUCAAUUUCAAUGAAUUGACAGAUAUCAAUUAGAGCCCUAUAACUUGGUAGCGGAUUGGAAAUUCAAAAAAUUUUCAAUUGCACAUGAAGGAAAAAAAACAAAUAUCACUGCUCACCAUGUGAUUUAAGCAUACUGGGCUACACCUAUGCCUAAUUUGAAGUGCAGGAAACAGAAAUAAUUGGAUCCAUUAAGGUAAGACAGGGAAACUAAGAAGUACAAGAAGCCGGUUACCACUCAAAAAAUGUAGAGACAGUUCAGUUAGCAAUCAAAAUUCCGAACCAAAAAGAAAUUAUGAUAAUUUGAUAUUUGUUUCUAUUCAAACCAUUUCAAAACUUUAUUCACGCAUUUUCCUAAGGACAAUCUUAAGUACUUUGCCGAGACUUGAUAUUAAGUAUCAAGUGCAAAUAAGUCAAAACCAGUGCAGAAAAUCAGAUAGAACCUUUUUAUCCAGAUAAUACUAAUGAUGUAUCUUAAUAAACCUGAAUUAUGCUAGCCAAUUAAUUCCCAUAUCAGUAGCCUUUCUAUGGAUGGAAGAAACUAAUAUGCAAGCAGAGAAGGCAGCAUACCAUAAACUAAAUUCCCCAAAACCAUGCUGUCUGAUGUGAAGCUCUAUGCAUUAAAAAAAGGAAAAACAAAUUAUAAACUUAAUUUUUUUAAAAAAAUUAAAAAACAGCUCUUUAGGUGGCAGGGGAGGUGGGUUUUGGUUCAAAUAGCUUAUACUGCCUCUGGCAUCUGUUCUUGAAUUCUCCAACUUUGUCUCCCAAACAUGUCCUAAUUCCCAAGAGCUCAUAUUGUCGGACCUACUCAUUAGGGUUUGCAUCAGUUUCCAUUAACAUUUAACUAAAAAGAGUUAAAAAAUUCAAUCAAGGUCAAAGAAAAUCAACCAUCCCACAGAGCAGAAGUUGCAUAGAUAUUCGAGAAAAUCAGUCAUGUCACAAACUAAGCAAUUAAUCACAUAGCAGAAGUUCAGAAGUUCAGCUUUCCUCAAUCCAACCAGCUUUGAAUACAUGUUUACAGGCUUAUAUAAUCUGCUCCUUACCACCUUUAAACAAAACCCUCGAACGAAUUAAACCAAAAAACCCAGAAAAAAAAAACAAAAAAAAUAAGAAGAAGCACAGAAAAUUAGGAUUACAAUCAAUCAAUCCACACAAAGUGCUAAAAAAACAUUAAUAAACAAACACCCAACAAAAAAACAGCAAGCUUUUAUUAAAAGAACACAAAAACAAAUAAAAUAAAAACAUACCCACAACUUUAUCUUACCUCAAGAACCGAAUCCAAGAGCGAAAAAAGAGUUUAAAAAUUCAAUCAAGGUCAAACAAAAUCAACCAUCCCACAGAGCAGAAAUUACAUAGAUAUUCGAGAAAAUCAGUCAUGUCACAAACUAAGCAUCUAAUCACACAGCAGAAGUUCAGAAGUUCAGCUUUCCUCAGGUGCUAAAUUGCAAUUAAAAAUAAAAACAAUAAUUAAUUGUCAAUCUCAAGAGCUGAUUUUGAGCAAUAAUUUCAAAACAUGCUAAAAUUUGAAUCAAACUUCUAAAGUGAAGGGCUGGAUCGAUGAAUACCUUUGUUGUCCCUGCAACUUUGAUGGCAUCUAUAAUAUUGAGUUGGUCAAGAACUUGGGGAUAUGCAAGGGCCGAGAUGACCACAUCUACUUGUUGAAUCACCAACACAAGCUUCUCAUGCUCAUCCAGUUCUCCCUGUUCCAACAGCAUAUAUAUUGAUCACCGCAGGAAGUAAGAAAAGAAACUAAGACGAAAAAGAGGGGAAAAAAGGUAUUACUUGGACAAUGUCGACGCCCAUGGACUGGAACUCUUUGAGAAGUUCUAUCUUGGAGGAAUGUGUUUGUGGAGUCGUAGGCCUAGAAUAAACGUACGUUGGAUGACCCAUCUUAACGCUGGCCUUAACCAUACAUCUACCAAUAUAACCUGUACCACCAAAUAUGAGAAUGCUACUUAACACGCUCUCCAUUGCUUUCCCACUACUUCUUUGUUGCUCUCCACCCCCCACCUCUCUAUUGCUGAUCUAUUUAUAGAAAAAUAAUAAUAAUAAUUUCUUCUAGUUUUUAAGACGAAGGAAAUCAACAAUACAUAAGAAAAAAGAAAGGUUUUGACGAAAGAGCUUAUCUUUAGAUAUUUGAAAAGAUUUCUGGACCCAUUCGUCACAUAGAGCUAGAUGACUUUAAAUGAUGAGUUUCGUACAUCACAACUGUUGAAAUUCGUGCAACAAUUUAUAGUGAAAAAUAAUAGUAAAACGAGAAAAAAGAACACGCAGAUUUAACAUGGUUCGACUAAUUGCCUAUGUCCAUAGGAAUAAAGAAAAGGAUUUUCACUAUGUAUCAAAUUAGGGUUACAUAAAAGAGUAUUUAUAUUAUCCCUUAAAAAUAAAAAUUCCAAAAAUACCCUUGGACCAUACCGUAGGGGGCGUUGCUCCCCGUAACCCCCAACCUAUCAUUCACCCCACAACAAAAGAAAUACAAGCCUAAAUGGCAAAUGUUGUUGCUUCGGCAUUUGCCCAUUUUUUCUUCAUUCAUCUUUUCGUUCAAAUAUGAACCACAUACUACAACAAUAACCAUGUACGAUAUUGGAAAUUUUAAGUCAAAAGCGCCCUGUUGUAGGCUGUCCAAUCUGGAAGCAACACUGCCAGAAAAAAAGCUCAACUAAUGGAGUGGUAAUGUGGUCAUUUUUAUAAAACAAUUUCUAGGGUGGAGUGCAACAAAUUCAACAACAAAUCCCAAGUUAUUUCCAUGUGUGUGCUGACAACUUUGAAGCUGCAGCUUAGCAAAUCGUGGAGGAGAAGGAAAGGGCUGCCAAAAAUGCAAACAAAGAUCAAUGACUUUUAAGUCUUCUGCUGCUUGGUUGAAAUUAGGCACCGACUUUGCUAGCUAUCUGGUACUAUGUUUCAGCAUCAUACGGAGUUUUCAUUCGUCUCCACUAUAGCUGGUUGCUUUGCACAUUUGCCUUCUUUAGUUACCUGCAGCUUAUGCAACAAUCAGUCAAAUAAUAAAUGGGGCUAAAAACAACUGUUUGGAUAAACAUUCUGCCAAAUCAAUAGCUCAUAUGGCUGGCAAGUGUCUGCACUACAGCCACUUGCUUUACAUAUCUAUCUUCUUUAUCUGGGAGCAGCUUAUACAAUAGUAGUCAACUAAUUAAAUGGAGCUGCAAAUUAUACUACUAAACUUUAUGGAGAAAGAGUCAACAAUUAACAGAACUGUUUGGAUAAACAAGUUUCUCCACUAUAAUUAACAUAAAUUUUACUUAGGUAUUUUCCAUGCAAAUUUAUGGAAUCAGAAUCAAGGUUUUAAUUCCUCCUGGCUAGGAUUUCCCAUAUUCUUUUUUAAAUAUAACCUAGGACUCUCCCUGCAAAAUAUGACAAUAUCAAUACUUAUUUUAUACACAUAUUUAGAUGUCUGUAUACAUAAAUUUACUUUAUGAGAUAUAUUCACUAAAAAGUGAUAUAUUAAAAUAGUUACAAAGAUUAAUUCUAAGGAAGUUAAAAUGGGGUUUUUUCUUUUUUUCCAAUUUCUAAGUUAUGAGAAGAAAAAUGAACUUUCAAAUAACAAGCUCAAGCUAACUCGAAAUCUUCAUUCUCCAUCAACUGUAGUACGAUAAAUACACAAUAAAACACUAAAAUCUACUAAAAGUUUUCAAGUUUGAGUAAUUUUCUAGAAUAGUGCAUUUUCAUUACUCAGUGAAAAACUAGUUUUUCCUUGAGGUUUCAAAUCAUAAGCUAUGUUUGGUUCCUAGAAAGUUUGAAGGAAAAUGUGAGGGAAAGAAAAUUAUGAGGAAAAGUCGAAAAAAAAUGAUGUGGUAAUUUAUAAGAAAAUUUCUAGAUUUUUUGGGAUUUUAUCAAUUUUUGAACUAUUGAAUGAAGGUUUAAAAGUCAGGCAAACAAACCAAAUCACCUAUUUUGAAUUUUAAUGAUAUUUCAUGAAUAAGUGUAUAUAUUAUAUAUGUUUUUAAACUUUUUAUAAAAUAGUACCUUAUCAAAUAAAUCAAUUUUAAUUAUUUUAUUUUUAUUUUUCAUUUAAUUUAAAUGAUUAUUAAAAAUAUAGAACCAUGAUGUGUUAAUGAUUUUUUCCCGUAUAUAUACCAUAAUUAAAUACAAGAAAAUAGAUAUUUAUAAACUUUUAUACAUAUAUAUUUCUAGUUUUUCAUAAAAAUAACUAUAAUAGGUAUAUUAUUGUUUCUCUUAUCAUUUUUUUUAAGUUUUCUCUAAUAUUUUUAUAAAUUUAAAUGAAUUUUGGUUUUAUCAAUAUUUUUUUAUUAAAAUUUUCGAUGAUAUUUCUCAAUAUAUCUGUAAAAUCGAAUUAUCGAUAUAUCUAUAAAAGCUAAUAUUUUAAUUCAUGGUUGGGCUCUUGUUGUCUUAUUACCGCCAACCAUGAAAACUAUCGUUACAUGUUAAUGUGUGCAAAAUUUUAAGUAUCUAUUUGAUAUUUAAUAUAAUAAAAUUUAGAUCAAUUAUUAACUAUAUACAUAAAUAAAAGUAAAUACAAAAUAAUGGAACAAGAACCACAUAAAUAAGAUAAUCUAGAUGGUGUUUGGUUUUUUUAUUUAAAUGUAAAUAAAAUUAAAUUUAAUUUAAUUAUAAAUACAACUUUAUAAUAUUAAAUAUUAAGUUAUUUAUUUUUUAAUUAUUAAGUAUUAAAUAUUAAUACUACAAGGACCAUAUUGAGAUUGUGUUUUGAUUGGUUCAAAAAAUUAUUUUUAAUAUUUAGUAAAAAAUAAAAUAUUUUGGUUUUUUUUCAAUCAAUUUUUUUUUAAAUAAGUAAUAAGUAAGAGAAAAAAAAAAGGUUAAAAAUAAAUUAUUUAAAAUAUUAAAAUUGAGUUAAAAAAAUAAAGACCUCUUUAAUCAUUUUAGAUACUACUUUUUGUAUACAAUUUGUACCUCUAAAUAGAAGCAAAAAAUGUUUUUUUUCUCCUUAAUUUGUCAUAUUUACUUGAGUCAUCCUUAGAAUGAAUUGAGGGUAAUCUCGAGUUUUUUAGAUUAGUGUAAAUCCUAAAAAGUAUAUAGACUUAGAUCAAUAAUAAAUUUGUUAAUCUAAAGUAAACAUAAUAGUAAAACGAACUAUCCAUAUUCUUAUGAACACGAGCAAUAAUCCAUGUUCUUAUAAACACGGGACAAGUCAUGUUCCAAUGGACACGAACAUUAAUCCGUGUUCUUAUGAACACAAACAUUAAUCCGUGUACAUAAGAACACGUAUAGAUAGCUAUGACCAUGUAAAUAUAUUUGUUAAGAUUUAAUAGAACAUUUUCUGUUAUAAAUUGUUAUAAAUCCAUUCCACUGAGAAGAUGACACGUGGACUCGUGAAAGAAAAUAAAAACGAAGGAAACGUUCCGGAAUAAAGAAAGUGAAUUCUCAGUGUACCAACACCAACCAUGCUCAUAUUUGGUACAAACUUUAUAAUGGAAAGAUGUCAAAAAAUAAAAUCUACUUGUUUUACGUUCCUGCUUCAAUCUUUUAAUGGCUAGUGUUGAUGUACAUAUAUAGGUAUGAAUAUAUGGAGACAAAUGGAUAUAUGCUCUCUGAUUUAGAUAUCUGUAUAGAUAAAUUUACUUUAUGAGAUAUAUUCACUAAAAAUUGUAUAUAAUAGAAAUAUAUUUAUUUGAUAAUUUAAACAAUAUUAAUAUAUUUACAUUUAUUCUUAUUAUGAAUUAAAAAUAAAAUUAACGAAAUACUUUAAGUUUUAAUUAUUCACAUAUAAUUCAUUUUUUUAUAAUUAUUUUUAAUUUUAAUAAUAUAUAAAUUAUAUAUUUAUAAUGUGAUGUUGAUAUCAUCGUUUGGGCCACGGUCCAACCAUCUAUUCAAUCAUUAAACCACAGCCCAUAACCCUAUAACUAAUUCAGUUUAAUGAUUAAUCCGAUCAACAACUUAAAAUUUUUAUCCUCAUUGAACUUUUUUUUUCAUAUUUAAUUUCUACAUAAGACUUUUUUGAGUUCUUCAAUGACUGAAUCGUUGAUCAUUAAAAUAUAUGUAAUAACUUAUUGGUAGUUAAAAUAGACGUAGGAAUUAUUAAAUUUGGUUGUUUAAGGAUCCAUGAUGAUAAUGUUGGCAAGUUUUUAGUAACCAGAAGUUUCAAAACACAAAGUCAUGACCAUUUGUAAGCCCAAUGCCCAGCCAAACCCAACUCAAACCCAAACCGCCUGCCUCUAGCAUGGGACUGGGUAUCGGCACGGAAUCUCCAGCCCAGCCGAAGAAGAGACCGGAGCCCAACAUCAACCGGCCAAUAAAAAUAUAAGGCAAGCUUGGCCCAUUCUGUAGUUUGUCCAAAGAACAAGUGCUCUUCGGGAAGAAAGUAACGGUCUGAUUGGGAAAUGUUUUUUAGAAUAGUUUUCUAUGUUUCAAAAUUUAAAAAAAAUACAAGAAAAAACGUUUGACAACCAAAAAUUGUUUUUUGUUUUCUAUUCUUAAGAACAAAAAAUAAAGUAUUUCCAUAAGACAUCUUUAACACAUCUUUUAGUUGUUUUCUCUUAUUUUUUAAGAGCUGUUUUAAAAAUAAUUUAUACAAACAUGUAGAAUGAUUAAAAAUAAAUAUUAGAUAUAAAAAUUAUUUUUAAAAUAUUAAAAGCAAAUUAAAAAUAUUUUAAGUUUUCAUAUAGACUUUUGUUCUAUACAAAUCAGAGAACGGAUUCUAGAAACUGUUUUUAAAAACUAUUUUUUGAAAUUAUUUUUUAAAACAGCUACUAAACAAACCCUAGACAACUCUAAAAACACUUUAAAAUUGUUUUAAAAAUAAAUUCGCAAGAAACUAUUUUCUAUCAAAAGUUUGUCCAUGCUUCCCCCUGUUCAUGCAUAUGAGCAAAACCAAGAAAUCCAUGAAAAAACACUAAUAUUCUCGGGAGGACCCGAAUCAUAGAAACCAUGGUCUAUUAUUAAAUAGAUACUCAAUACAUCUAGAUUGCAAGAAACUAAACCCAAAAAGGAUUACAGAAGGUAAAAUAAAAGCACUCCCUCCCCUUGAGGACCUUCAUAAUAGAUUUGAAGUAGUGGGUGAGGUUGAACUAGAGAGGGUAGUAAUGCACCCACCUCUUGAACAUGUAGUAACAUUCUCUUCUAUAGUACUCUGGAGCCGUGUGGCCUGCACCCUGUUGAACCCAAAACCACAUAUCUUCAAAUUCUAUUAUUUACUUUCAAUUUGGCAGAGAAAAAGACUAGGAAAUGUAUAGAAUAUGGUUGUGCUUGCCUUCACGGUCGCAUAAGUCAAUCGGUACCCAUUUUGUGAAUGCUUCUCCGUGUAUCUACAUCAAACACCAAUGAUAACUUAGCCAUGAAUUUUCAGAAAAAUCACUAACUGCAUUGGAGACUUGGGAAAAAUUCUUCAAACCUACCCUGCAAUUUCACCAUCAACAAACCAUGGCCGCCAAGGACUAACAAUUGUCAAAUUGAGGAGUCUAAUCCAUUCUACCGCCCCCGGGUAUGGAACAACCAAGUCGCGAUCGCCACUGCAGGAGUAAAAAAAUCAACCAUAUUAACCGCUAGGGUUUGAAUACUUCUUGUUUUAAUUGGGAGUUGAAGUGGUGCUUACACUUCUACAAGAACUUCCAGCUGCUUUUUACUGAGAUAACGGUGAACAUCGAUUACGCUCUGAACAUCUUUUGUGUACGACAAGCUCUUGUUGCACCUCGACCAAUAUUUUACAGUUCCCUGAUCCGACCAUAAAACAAAAAAAGGGAUGAAAAAAUGUUCAGUACUCUAAUACCAUUCAUCACUGAGAGUUGAUCAGGUAUUCACAUACCACUCGGACAUUUAAUGCUUCUUGGACACUUUCAUCAUUAGCCCAGAUGUAGGACAAUGCAUAAUUGAAGUUCUGCAAGAAGAUAUGAACCAGUUGAUCAUCAGCCAGCCAUCUACAUUUCCAAAGAAAAGUAUAAAUUCAGAAGGAGGGAUAUGAGGUUUUUUUAGUACCCGGCACCAGAACUCUUCAAGUUUUGGUGUAUUAAGAAUGAAGUCUCCAGGCUUCUCAUCCAGAGAUCUUCGGGUUGGUUCUGGGGAUUCAAAGACACACUUGGGCUCCAAAAUAUCAUUACGGAACAAGUCUUUGACACACUGCAAAUUCGAACAUAGAGAUGAUAGACAAGUUAAAAGGAAGAAUGAAUUAAUUAACUAUGUGAUUGAUGGAACCCGAAAAAACAAAUAAUCAUGACUUACAUGUUGGAUUUCACCAAGACUACUUAAGCACUUUGUGUUAGAUGGAUCUACAUCUGCAUAGUUCCCAUUGCAGUUUUCUUUUGCAGCCUGGAAAAGCACAGACCAUUAUAAGCUUUACAGUUCAAUCCUAGUUUUAGUAGGGCUACACUAGAAGUUGUAACAAUAAAAGAAGAUAAGAGGUUUUUGAGGGAAGAAAUUAAUACCAAAAUAUCAAUUAAGCAAAGGAAAUUUUGGCAAACAAAAGACAAGAAGAAGUGAAGGGAGAUAAAAAUGAUGUGAUUUUUGUUUAUCAAAAUACUAGAAAUUAUUGGUUUUUUGGGGUAGUAUUUUCAGAAACAAUUUUAAAAAUCUCUUUUGAGAAUUAUUUUCUUUUAAAAAAAAAUUAUUUUACUCUUUAAUAUUUCAUAAAAAAGCCUAUUCAAAAACUUUAAAUAUUCUUAACAUGUUUUUUAUGUUGUUAAAUAUUUUUGUAAAGUAAUUUUUUUAUUAUAAUACUAUUUUAUUUUCAAUCAUUAUUUAUAUUUUUUUAAGAAUAGAAGUUUAUUUAUUUUUAAUUAAUAAACAUAUUUUUUAUUCGUUUAUUCUUAAAAAAUAAAAAUAAAAAUAAAAACUGUUUUCAAAAACAGCUUCUCAAAUUAAGGGAAGAUUGCUCGAGAUUACCUCAUAGAGCUCAUCGGAUAUAAGGGCCAACCGGUGAGCAAAUACAACUUUUGCAUUUGUAUUGAUGUUUUCAUCUGUUGUCGGGCUCCCAACCAAAUACCCCUAAAACCAUCAUUGAAAGAGAAUCCAAAUCAAUUAAUUGGGAUCACCCCAAUAAUAAACUAAUGAAAUCAUUCAAAGUUGGUAGGUCAGUGGAGUACUUGUAGGUUAAAUCGUGGCACAGUGUGUUCAUCUAUAGCUGCAAGUCCAUAUACCAAAAUCUGAGCUCAGUACAAUAUUCAUACAUGAAAGAAUAGCAAGUUGCAUGCAGUGACAAAAUAUAGGUUAAUUACCAUCUACUAUAUGUUUGACGACUAGAGGAACGAUUAUGCCUGAAUAUGAAUCACCACCCACAUAGAGUUGAAGAGGGAGGUAUUUAGGGUGUUCAAUCAACCACUGCACCAUUAUUCAUACAUAACUUAGUCAAAUAAACUACGGAAUUAAUCAAUAUUUAUUACUUAAUUAACUUAAUUAAUUACCUUCCUCAGGAACUCAUAGGUUUCAAGGGCUGAAUCUGUGUCUGAACUAGACCAACCAUCCGCGGAUGUUGAGUAGGAGAAGCCAGUGCCAACUGGGGCAUCAAGGAAUAAUAUGCUGGCUGUCUGAGGAAUUGUCACAGCACAAUUAUGUAGGAAUUAUUGGCUAAGUACAAUUUUUCAAUGGUGAAGUAUGUACUAGUAAUGAAGCAAAUCAGUAUGUUGAAAUUACCUUUGUCCAUGCAUAUUUGUAAGGCAGCAAUCUUGGUAACCCUCCUGGGUAGUUGUGGAUAUCAAACUCCAUUGGACCUACAUUCAUAACAUAAAUAAAUUAUGGGUUUUGAUAAGGAAAUUAAGCACUUAUUUUUCUAAUUGCUUGAUUUUAUUCUUAUAAAAAAAAUAAUAAGAGGAAUAGUUUAUGGAAAUUUCCUUUUGAGAAUCUUUUUUGAAUGGAUGAAGUGAUGGUAUUCUUAAAAAAUAAAGAGAAAGACUUAUGCCAAUUUGAAAAUACAGAAGAAUGGAAGGUAUGGAGGCCAAAAAUCCAAAGCAAUUGUGCGUAAUCAAGUGAGACUCGUAGCUUUACCAAACACAUCACGUGCAAUACAACCACCAAUUAAUACCCAAUGGUCAACUUGAUCAUUUGAACUUGAGAGAAGAGCUACCUAAGGCAUGCAUUGAUGCCCACUAAUUGUGAUCAGUGGUGAUCCUACCAACGCCUUCUUCAUAAACUUACAUGAAGACUAAUACCUUAUUCAUAAAUUUACAUGAAGACCCGCCACAUCUGAUUUAUAUGGGGAUUGUUAAUAUUCCAACGCAACACUCAAAAUAUGGCAAACAUUAGUCUUAAAUUUAGAAGAUACUAUGAUAUCUAAUGUUAAUUAAGGAAAGAAAUUUUUGAUAUUAUAUAUGUAAUGAUCUUUUCUUAAUUAUGUAAAUAUGUUUUAAAGUUACAAAAAUUUACUGGUUUCAAAAUAAACAAUAUCUGCAUAAGAGGGGGUGAGUCAUUUUAAAUAGUAUUAAAGUUAAUCAACUGUAAUGUGACAUUCUUUGUAUUCAAUCCAAUAAAAAAUCCCUAUAUGUUUAGCAUAUAUGCACAAGUUUACAACCUUGGGCUUAAACCUUGGACCAAGGGUUCAAGAUGAGCACGGUUGCACUAACUUGUUGCUAAUUGGUUUGUGUCCAUAAUAAAAUCAUCUCAAAUAUCUAAUAUUUUUUAAAACACUUUUAUUUUCCGUAUGUAAUAUUAUAUAUGUUUUAUUUAAUAAACUUUAAAAUAUUAAUAUAUUUAUAUAAAAGAUGGAAAGUAAAUAAAUAUUAUUGAUUUUUAAUUUAUUUAUAUUUGUAUUUUUUUUAAAUUAUUUUUUAUUUUAACAAAAUAUAAAUUAUAUAUUUAUGACGUCAUCAGUUCGACUGCAUUUCAACCACCGGUCCAACCACUAAACUGUGAAUUGAUAACUUUUUCGGUUCGCUAACCGGUCUAGUUUUGAAAACAUUGGAAAUGUCUACUCCAAAGCAAUAAAAGCUAAAUGGUGAUAUCACAACAAAUAUGAAAAUGAAAGAGUAUAAUUCAUUUUGUUAAGCACUCAAAUGGUUAUAUAUAAUCGACUUUCUAAACUACCCUCAUGAGGAGAAGAAGAAAAGUAUACCGAUUUCGUAAAUGAGUCCAUUGAAAGAAGAACAACCGGGGCCUCCAGUGAGCCAGAGGAAAAAAGGGUCAGUCUGAGGGUUCCCUUGUGACUCAAUGAAGUAGUAGAACAACUCCGAGUCUCCAACGCUUACGUAUCUGGAAAACACUAACCCUAUGACCCAUCACCAUUUCCACCUCCAAAAGAAAAACAAUCUAGCGCCACAAUGCCUCAAAAAAAUUGCAAAAUUAAAGAAAAACACUAACCCGGUUUCAAGCUUGAAAGUAAGGUUCCCAUAGCCAGGCAGAUACUCGACGAUGGAACCGGCCGAGGCUGCAUUUGCUGAGACUAACACUACAAGCAACAACCGCAGAAACAGCCCUCCAUGAAACAUACUAGAAUUGGAUGGCCUUUUUGCAGCCAUACUUCAACUACACAAGGCCUAAAGAAUGUUGUAAGAGAGACGAUCAAAUGGUGUACUUGCACUUUAUGGACUUUAUUUUAUAUAUAUAUAUAUAAAUAUAUAUAUUCUAUGGUGGUGGGGAAGGAAAAUUAAUGAAGAUAUACUUUGGAAAAAGGAUUUCUUUGUUACGCCCACAUGGCCAAUUUUUUAAAUUCUCAUUGAUUAAGCUGGUCAGCACUAGCUAACCCACUUCUUUCCUAUCUAACAUUCAUGUCUUUUUAAGUACAACAAACCAUAGGUUUCAAUAGCCAAGUUUUGAAGCAAGGAUAUAGCCGUUUGGUAACGCUGUCUGAAGGCUUGAAUGGUCUAUAUUAAUACAAGACUUUGUUAACACAUCUUUAAUGCAAAAUAAUAAUAUUUGCCAUUUAAAUUUACUUUUUAGAAUAAGUAAUUGUUUUUCAAUACAAAUAUUAAAAUAAAAAUAUCCAAUUUUAUACUAUAGCAUCCCUUUUAUUAUCAUAUUUUUAAUCAUUGGUCUAUGGAUAAUUUUAUUGCAUGCAUUAAAAAUUAAUUAAUAUUCAUUAAAUAUAAAAGUUUUUUGGAAUUCACUUGAUAUAUAAAUAAUUAGUAAAAAAUGUGACUCAAGUAAUGAAAAGAAUAAUAUGCCAUUAUUACCAUAUGCUUAUGGGCAAUGGGUGAUUGAAUAUGUUCAAACAAAAGGAAAAAAAAAACCAACAAUAAAAAUAAAAAGGUUAACAUACAUUAAAUGCAACAAUUUCAUUUUCCUAGAUGUCAUUAUACAUAAUCGGAGUGGGGUAGAACAAAACAACACUAAAACUCAUCCUAAAUUUAAAAUAAAAUAAAAUAAUCUCAAAUCCUGUCUUAAAUUGAUAAUUUAAAUUUCAAACUCGUUUUAUUAAUACAAGAUGAGAUGAGUAUUAAAAAAAUUUGUCUCGUCCUCAUCUCUAAUUUCAAUCUAUUGUUUUGACGAUUGUAUUUGACUGAAAUCUUCAAAUGAGUGAAAGUUCAAAAUCAAGCCUCAAGUUAGAAAAUUACAAAACUUGGAAACGGCUGCAAAAAUGUUUACUAAUAUAUCAUAGAAUAUGUGAGUGUUAGAUAUAUAGUUGACCCUAUAAGUUUAAUUAAAAUAAAAUAUAUAUAUUUAAAAAAUAAAAAAAUAAAAAUAAAAAGCCAAAAAUCCCAUCAAGUUGACAUGGAAAGCCUUGGUUUUCCCAUUUUUGCUUUUCCAAUGAUUUUUCGAAGGCACGUAUGAAUAAAAAAUAUAGAAAAUGAACACCAAACUAACUGGAUUGGUCACGUGAUCAUAACCUCAUACAACCAAUUAGCACCCAACAACCUCAUAUGAAGAUUGGUGUGGUUGGUGGUGUCACAUGGAAAGCUAACCCCAGCUGAUUGAAUGAUGUAAACAUGAAUCCAAGCACGUGUAUACCAAACCCGCAUCGAAAUGCCCUGGUGGCUGCUAAUUCAUGUAUGCCAAAAUUUUCACUAGUGUUACCAACCUUAUCACUACUUUGUAGUGGUUGGGACAGAAUUUAGGUUACAAUCACGUGCUACUCACACUUAUUCUAUGCCAAUUUUAUUUUUAUUUUUUUAGCAUAGAGUAAAACAUAAGUGAUUUGAAGGGACAAAAUGGAAACUGUUAUAGUAAGACAACUCUUCUCCCCUUGGUUUAUCUUUCUCAUAUUUAAAAUAAAAAUCUUUAUUUUUAUUAGACACAGCCAAUAGUUUAGUUUAGGGAGAGCACCCCUGAACAAAUACAGGUUUUACCCUAAUAGUCUAAAAUUAUCAUCGUUAGGGAGAAUAAUAACCGAUCGGAAUUCAAGUUCUAUUAUUACAAGAAGUGUAAUUUUUUUGUUUUAAUAUUUUUGAAGGAGGUAUGUAUACCGAGGAACCAAUUGGCUCCUUAAUGUUUAUUAGCUUUUUGGAAAUUAUAAAAAAAAAAAAAAAAAGGUUUGAAGUAUAUAAAUUUUUAAAACAAUUUUAUCAUAUUUUGUUAAUAUUUUUCAUUAAAUACAUGAUUGUCAAGUUUUAAAUGAUGGUGAUAUAAGUUUUUUUUUAAUUUAUAAAAGCAUACAUUUUAUCUCACUUAUACCUUUUAUAAAAGCACACACAAAAAUAAAAAUAAAAAUAAAAUAAAAGAUGAGGGCCAGGAGGAUGCGCCCAAGUCCUAACAGUGGGAAGUUAUGAAUCAUCCUCCCUUGAAAGAGAAGGGCAAAAGACAAGGACGCCCAACACUUGGGAUAAGUGCAAUGGACAUGGGCCACUUGAGAUCCCACUGAAAUACUGUUGUGUCUUCCCAGACUACAUAUUGAAAGCCCAAAUCCACAUGGAUUCAUUACGUGACAGCUCAUAGGCCAUCAUGGGCCUCCUUCACCCAGGCUCUAAUUUGACAAGCAUUUGGCUGAUAAAGGCCCAUGGGAUUUGUUGAAGUCAUUACAAUUGUCCUAUGCUUUAAUACUACAGUAUACAAUCCACCUUAAAAUUAUGAAGCAAAAAAAAAAUAUUCCAAUUCCAAAAUCACCUUUGUUUAUGUACAUAGUCUGAGUUUUAGGGUUUUUAAUCAUGGGUGUUACACAACAUCAUCGGAAAGGCAUUUUUUUCAAUAUAUAUAAAAAAAUGCAUCAUCAUUCCCGUGGUGUUAAGUAGUACAUACGCAUCUUCAAGUUUUAUAGCAUUAUAUCCGAGUCUCAUUCUUUUGUACUUUGAUCUCAUUUAUUUGUACUUUCAUUUAAUAACCUAAACUUGUUCAUGCACAUUCAAUGGUUGAGAUGAGAAGCUUAAUGGGUAUCAAUUCGGUACCUCAAAUAUUUUCCUUAAAUUAUAUGACAAUUAAAAUACUCUGAAGAUGAUUGGUUCAAUCCUCAUAUCAUUUGGAAAUUCAACAAUUUUAUUACAAGAUGAUCUCUCUCACAGUAGACUACAUAUGGAAUACAGAAUGAAUAAUGAAGAUGAUCCACUUUCCAUACAAACAAACACCUAAUUCAUGGUAGUUUUGUAUAGAUAGACAAUCUAAUAAAACACAGCAUUUCUCGUUGUAACAGCACAGCUUCUGCUUCUCGGAUACAACACAUCUGCUUUGAGCUUACCAUCAUCAUCUUCCACAAACUCACACGGCUUCUCCUCAUCAAUUCUCCCAAUCCUCCCUAUCCCAACACUGUAGCUCCUCAUUCCCACCCCUUUACGCCUCUCCAUCUCCACCCUACUCCCUCCACUCCUCUUAGACACCCUCCCUAUGGUCUCCCUCAACCUCAACUCCUCAUCUCUACGCUUUGAAGAACUGACGCUAAAGCUAUUAGGCAAAUGCGAGACUUGCAGGGCCGGACAGCCUACAAGACCACCAUAGCCGACGCCCCCGCUACAGUCCAUCAUGCUUCUCAUGUAAAAGUCUCCAGCCUUGGCCAGAACCCUAAGUGGAGCUCCAAUGCACUGCAUGGCCUUGCUUUGCUUUUUUCCCUUGGUUUUCAUGUUUGUACGGUGCCAAAAGAACUGAGAUCAAGGAAAAGAGGCUUGGAAAUGAUAGAUGAAAGUAGAGAAGAGAAAAGCCUGUAUGUGUAUAGAUGAGGUGGGGGUUUCAGAUUGAUCGCUGGUGUGUUUGUUUCUCGGAAUAUGCAUGGCAAGAGGAGGAAGAGGACUAGUUGAGGGUGAGAUAAUCCACUGCGUGUGGACUCUUUCAGAGAAGGAAUUCAAUAAUUUAAUCUAAGAAGACACAUUGUAGGCCAAAAUAUAAUGAUAAAGCAAAGGGAGAGCUGGCUAGGCCUUUAGAAAACAGUACACAUUUGCCGUGGACCUCCACAUUGUCUUGUUAUGAUCGUGGGUGUUUUAAAAAUGUGAGGGAAUCACCCUAUUUUAGUUGAACAGACAAGACCAUACUAUGUAAAAUUUCCCAACGACAUAUACAAGCUGACAGAAGUACGUAAUUCACAUAUAGUUCAUCAAUCCCUUGUUCCUAUUAUUUCUCCCAUUGAUUUGAAAAAACUCAUUUCAUGGUCAAUAUGCUCUUGAUUACUAUAUAGAACCAUAUUAUUUUGGUUGUCAUACAUUACAGAUUAUAGAUCUAACUCUCUUUUAGAACUGUGGAUGAAGGAGUUACAUGUCAUGAAUCCCUUGUACAAGACUAGUCACAUGGGGAGCGAAUGGGGAUGAUUAAAUCAAUGUGGAUUGUCCAUUGUAUAGGGGCCGGACUAAAACUACUGAAACCAGACAAGGAAUGGGCAGGAGUAGGGCUGAGUGGUAUGGGAAUUAAGAGUCUAUCAGAAAAGUAGUUUCAGUGGGAUCCCUAUUCCUGCACCCCUCAUAUGAAAAAUAAAAAAUAGCAAGGUUGAAUCAUUUGGUAGACUGUUUGAUAUUUAUGUAUAUAAUUUCAGUUCCAUAUUUUGAAUUGCAGUGGAUUCUAUCACAAGAUCUCGUUAUGAUAGAGUAAUUAGGCACACUGCUUUUGGUGAAAUCGGCAAAGCUUGCUGACAGGCUCGUGACAUAUUCAAGCCAACUUGCCAAGGAGUGGACCUUGUGUGUUUUGUGUGAGCAAAAGCUUCAAUGUAAAUUCAUUAAUAUAUUCAUAUACAAAACAUGAGUGUUUUUACCCUUCUCGGUGCCACCCACUCUUUCUCACGUAUUUAUCCAUCAUAUAUAGUUUUCACAAGUUUAUUUCUAUCUAACUUUAACUUUUUCCCCUAAUGACUUAUAAUGUUUACAGAAAAUUUCUAAUAAUAUUCCUUAUUUUAUAAAAAAUUAUAAAUAAAAAAAUCUAAUUAUAAUGACAUUUGAAAUUAGGAAAUAUUUUAUUUAAUAUUUCUUAUAAAAAUAAAUAUAUACUAAUAAUGAAUUUGAAACAUUUUCUAACAAUCUUCACAUUAAACCAAAUUACAUUAAAUCAAUCUUCUAUUUCUCCAUGAUAAUACAAGCUUUUGAGAAACUUUUCUAAUCCAAAUCCUUAUUUCAUACUACAACUUCCUUAUGUGUCAUGGUUCAUUUCUUAUACCAUGGUCUUAUUAUAUACCAUGAUCCCCUUGCUUUUUGUGUCACAUUUCAAUAAGAGAACAAUUAACUUUACAUUCAACUAAAAUUUCUUUUUGUAACAUCUUUUGUGUUUUAUUCUUUUUACUCUUCAAGAAGCCUUCAAUAUAAGCUUUGGUACUACUUGUGAUAAAAAACUUAGUCAUCUCAUUUAAAAAUCAAUUGGUUGUCAAUGAGGUCAAGCUAACCCUCUUUGUGUGGUGUGAUGUCAUACUCAUUCACACUCACCUUGGGGCUUAACCAUUUGGGGGUAUACAAUAAGCUUGACUCAUUGACUCAUCCCACACAACACACAUCUCUAAGCCAUGACUCAUUCCAAGGCUUAUAGUGGCGCCUAAAUAUCUUGAACCUUCCACAAUUAUCCCAAGGUCAUUUUUUAAUAACUAUUUUAAUUUCUCAAGAACCAACAUUAUUUCAUACCAACAAUCUCUCCUCAACACGUAGCUCCUACAUAACUCAGACUCAUAACCUAACUUUGAUACUACUUUUUCUACCAAUAAAAGCUUCAAUGCAAACAUCUUAAUGCAAAAACAUAAAAAUCAAAUAAUUCACACAAAUGCACAUAGGAUUUUAACGUAAUUCUAUCAAUCAUACCUACAUUCGCAAAUAAGAGAAAAUAUUUCUUAUAUUAUAAAUAAUAUUACAAUAAACCUAAAACAUAUAUAAUUAUUAGAUUUCAAAACAUCUAAUGUUUCCUCAUUCUUUGUAUUUACACCCUAAGUAAUGAGCCAUCUUGGUCUACUUAGUGUCCUUCCUCUUCUUUAUAUUUCUAUCUAUGUUCAUCUUUGUUCCAUAACUUUUUUCUCUUAUAAUUUACAACAUUUAUAGAGAUAUUUCUAAUAGUUUUCCUUAUUAUAUAAACAAUCUAAAUACAAUAACAUAAGAACUUAGAAAAUAUCCUAUAUCUAUAUAUACUCAAAUCACAAGUGUUCCUAAGCUUGAAAUCUUUUCCCAGACCAGAUUAUAAGAUGGCUUUACAUGCUAAGAAGCUCUAAACCAAGAUCAACAGACCGGUCAAGAUUUUUGAACAAGUAAUCCAAUGCUUGGCUGUAUAUGGAUAUGGAGUUCAUGGGAAAUGAUGUUGAAGGAGAACUAAUUACACCGCAUUAGAUAUCAUCAUCAUGAACAAUCCAAUCCAGACAAGACAUGUGAUUGUCUGAGCUGAAACAGCUUAAUCAAAGUAAUCAAUUCUCAACCCCUAUAGUUGAAAUUAAGGCACGGUUGAACAAACAAAACUAGCUGUAGGCAACUGGAGCUACACCAAGUUGGCCAGGUUCGUCCAUUCAAGCUCAUCUAUACCUAUCAAACAAACCAAACCAAGCCAAGCCAAAUUCAAAAUUUAGCUCCAAUGUUCAAUAUGUAGUUUGUGUGUGUGUGUGUGUGGGGGGGGGGGGGGGGGGGGCCCAAAAAAAAAAAUUUUUUUUUUUCCCCAAAGGGGACCCUGAAAAAUAAACCCCCCCAGCCCCCCUUUUGGGGGAAAAAAACACAAUUUUACCCCCCCCCCCCGGGGUAAAAAAGAAAUUUGGGGGAUUUCCCAUUUAAGGUGGGGGGGGGUUUUNNNNNNNNNNNNNNNNNNNNNNNNNNNNNNNNNNNNNNNNNNNNNNNNNNNNNNNNNNNNNNNNNNNNNNNNNNNNNNNNNNNNNNNNNNNNNNNNNNNNUUAUUUUUUUUGUGUGUGUGUUGGGGGGGGGGGGGGGGGGGGCGCGAAGUGAAAAGUGUCUGUAUAUACCAGAAAGGAUACCAUGAAAAUGACAAUCCAACAAGCUCACAUGUUGCAUGAAAAUGACAAUGUAUACAACAACUUCACAUGGGUUAAUAAUGAAUUUGCUGGAUUUCCCAUUUAAUGUUGGUGGGGAUUUUUCUCAGGGAAGGCAUGGGUUCAUCACAUGGAGGUAGUACUCUGAUAUCCGUUUGUCUUUUAACUCAUCAAGCAAAACAUGAACUUCUGGGGGUGGUGGAGUCCCGGCUCCAGAUACGAACAAUCAUAUAUGUGCAGGUGGGAACAAGCUCAAAAAGGAGAGACCCCAUCAUUGGAUGCCCUUUUCCAGUACAUGUUUUCUUCAUCAAAAUCAAAACUAGCUAGUUCAUUCCAGUUGGGUUACCAAUUAUUAGAUUAUCACCAACUCCCAGUUGCUAAGCAGGAAGUGAAGGGGCUUAAGAUUUUGCAACUCUUUCCACAGUCCCAUUUUUACAGAUGGGGGAAAAAUGGAACAAUUGAACCUAUUUGGUGUUUUUUAUUAUUCAUGUAUAUCCUUUCGGUUUAAAAAUUUUGUAGUAUUUAUGUGCUGUACACUAACCUCAUACCUUACUCUAUUUUAAAGAAAAUUAUGGAAUUCAUCUGCGUCUACACAAGCAGAUUUGACUUCUCAUCCAUUCCCUUCAUAACUAAAAACACAUGGUUGAAUUGACGUAUAAAUUUAUAAGUUUUAAAAUUGUCACAUUAAUUAAUAGUACCAAACUAAAAAUAUAUUUUCAACCUAAAAAAUUUAUACCCUAUUUUUUUAUCAACAACCAAUAUUUAAAAUGCUGCAUGAAACCGGAAUUAGUUUUAUUGUACUCCACUCGAGAUGUCAAGAGUCAAGCUACCUGCUGAGCUCGCGAGAUUAAAAGGGACAAAACAUCUUAGAUAAAUUUUUUUUAUGUAAUAAACGAGGAGUUUGUUCCUAUUAUAUAUUUAAUUCUUUUAGAUUUUAGGGUUUAGUUUUUUAGAUAGCGUGGAUAAUAAUUAAAAGUAGUUUUGAGAGUUUCAUCAUUAUAUUCCUUUUCGUUCCUUUUAUUAAUGGACCGUGAAUAUAUAAAUUACAUUAAUCAUUGAACCACGUUAAAAAUCUUAUCUCUUUAUUUAUUUUUUUAUCGUGUGCAUGGUUUGAUUAAUAUAAAAUUUGAUUAAUAAUGAAUCGAUAAAUUAAAAUUUGCUAAAAACUAAAAAAGAAAUUAAAGAAAAACUAAGAAAAUAGAAGGUGGGAAACCAUGUUGGUGAAAAGGAGGAAAAGAGGAAGAGGAUGAAUAUGGGCGUAUCGACAUUGACUUCCAAAUCAGAAUGCCAAAAGUAAACACCAUUACUUGCUGCACUCUUUGAACUUUCCUUCCAUUUCCUCCCUAUGGUCAGAUGGAAUUUAUUCAUUGGACCCAAUAUUUGACAAUUUUAAAUUGUAUUAAAAAAAUAAUAAUAAUAAUACAAGGGUAUGUUGUUUAAGUUUAACAAUUGAGGCUACUUUUCCCUCUUCAUUAAUAAAUCCGUGGAUAGAAAAACAGCCUUUCCCCAUGCCCACAAGGGAUGGCUGCUGACUUUGCAUCCCAUUUAUGUGGUUAGCAUUUACUAUUCAAUUUCCAUGUCACUGCCCAUCUUAUUUGACAAAGAGGGGGGAAAAGUCCAUUUACACUAAAUUGGUUGCUCCAUCACACGAUCAUUAAUAUCACUCUCACAUUUUCCAAAAUAUACUUCAAUUCCAAUCUAAUAAAAUUACCUCCAAUACAAAUUUCUAGAAAAUAUACAUUCUAUACGAGAAAAAAAAAAAUUAUACUCCAAUUAUUACCAUUUUAAAAAUAAAAAUAAAAAUAAAAAUACCCCGAGUUAUAUUAUAACGUAUUUGAAUUAUUAGUUAUUAGAUUAAUUUCAUUUGCAGCCCCGCCAUUUAAUGUAAAUACAAGAUGUUUGAUAUAUCAAUUUAAUCACUUUAUAUGAUUUUAAUAAUUUAAUUUAAGUUUUUGCUCAGGUUAAGAUAGUGUUUGGUUUUUUUUUAAUAAAAAAAAUCAAAAUAUUUGAUAUUUUAUAUUCAACGAUUUGAUAUGUUAUUUUUAGUUAAAUAAAAAAAAAUCAAAUGUUUUAGUCUUUUUUAUUUAAUAUGUUUAAUAAAAUAACUUAAUAUUAUAAUAAAAUAUUAAUUUAAAAUAAUUAAUUUAUUAUUAAUUUUAAAUUCUUUUUGUUUUAUAUGUCUAUAAUAAGAAUACAUUUUAAAAUUAUGAUUUAACAUUUAUGAUUCAUUUUCUAUAAUAAAUAUUUUAUAAUUAUUUUAUGUAUCUAUAAUAUUUUCAUAUAGAUACUUGAUAAAUAAUUUUAUUAUUUAAAAUUAAUGAAAAUAAAUAUAAGUAAAAAUCAAUAAGGAUAAGUAUUAGUGAAUGAUGAUUUAAAAUAAAUUUUAAGUUAAUUUUAUUAAAUAAAUUUAAUAAUUAAAAUAAAUAAUAAAUAAUAAAUUUUUAAUUAAUAAUUUAAAAAUAAUUUAACUUAAAAUUAAUAUAAACCAUUAAAUUUUAUCAAACAUCCACUAGAUUAUCAUUAAUUUCAAUAUAAUAGUGUAUUUUUAAAUAAAUAAAAAAUUAUAUUAAACAUAUUUAUAUAAAAUAUUUUUAUUUAAAAUCUUUCUAAAAAAAUAAAUUUUAUAAAUGAAAUAUAUUUAUAGAAUGUUGAUAGAAGAAAUUUGGAAUUUGAAACCAACGGUAUGAAUAUUAUAAUUUUUUGGGAAAAGAAUUUCAAAAAAUAUUGAAAAUUUAAAGAGAAUUUAUGCCACGUUUAUUCCCAAAAAAAAAAAAAAAUGGUUACUAUGAUUCCGUAUAUUGAGGGGCCCAGUCGAAAGCAAAGAGCUCUUAUAACCGUACGUCUGCCAGAAAAUUUUAAACACCGAAAUAUUAAUUUUGUUUUAAAGCGUGAGAUUCAUGAAUCAAUAUAAGUAAAGGUAAAAAGAAAGGUGAAAACAGACAGGCCGCCAAACAAGACAGAAACACAGAUUUUCUGCCGUCCCAAACAGAAAAUUUCCUCCUCUAAGACCAGUCCUACAUCGCAACAACAAUGGAUCUAUUUUUAGUCCUGACCACACUUACUACCACUGCCAAUACGAUACGAUCAAGAUUUCCUGUGAUGUUUCGUGAUUUUUUACCCAAUUUAUUUUCCUUUCCUGGAUUUGAAAGGGAAAAAAGGAAAUGAAGGAAAGUACCAGAAAACAUGCGUUAGUGAGAUAAAUAUUAAUUCUUUCCAACCAAACACCCUCUGGAAAUGCGAUAAUUGUUGAACAUAAUCAUUCUAAAUAGAAUUUGUUUUUUCCAGUCGAUCUUCAUGAACAUUUUUUGUUAAUAAUUCAUAAAUAAUUUGAGAUAUGAACAGAUGAGCCAAAUGAUAAUUCAAACUCGUUGAGAUUGAAAAGAAAAAUCUUCAUUUUUCUAAAUAUAUAGAUCUAUGAAGCCGAACCGAAACGGUUCCCAGCCCUACGCCGGUGCUAUUACCAUUUCGCCGGCAGUAAUUGGCGCAUUCCUCGCCAGGAAACACAGAAUUGGUCGGCACAUCAACAAAGCAAAACAAACAAGCGGAAAAAAAUUUAAACAAAAGCAAAAAUAGAAAUUCCUAUCCCAUAUCUACAGAUGGAUACAGAGACAGAGGGAGUCAGAAAAAGAGAGAAAGGAAGAGUUACGAAAUGGUUCUCUUUCCGGGACGAUCGGCAGCUCUCAUGGUCUUGUCAAUGAGCUUCUUAGCCUUUCUGCUUCGGAUCUCCACCUUCACGCUGGAGCUCUUGUCCAUCUUUAUGUAUGGCUUCUUCGACUUCUUCAGCGCCCGAACCUUCGACUUUAUCGACUCCACCAGGUUCUCCAACUGAAUCGCCAUCACUAUUUUCCAAUCAAACCAUAUGCCGGGAGGAUCAGGGUUUCCAGGAUUUUUGGAGAUCGCAGUGAAGCCCUCGACGUCGACCUCUAUGUUGAUCAGUUGCUUCCGGUUGGUGAGCCGAGCGGUUUUUAUCAACAGACGAAUACAAAUUCACCUUGGUUUUCCUAGAUUAUUACGAGUUUGCCAUUUUCCGUACUCAUUGUCCGACGUGUUGAUUUUGGUUGCAUCUGCACCGUUGAUUCGCCUUGAAAUCACUUCGAAAUAGAAAUUUGAAGUACGCAGUCGGCAGGGCAGAUUGCAGUCAAAUCCGUUAGCCUACAGUGCCGAAAAUGUAGUUGUCAAACUUGAAAGGGUAUUAUGGCUAAUAUUAAUUUUAUUUUAUAAAAGUAUGACUUUAAUUUUUAAAAUUUUAAGAAUUUUGUAAUAAUUUUAUUGAAAAAAAUAAUUUGAUCUAAGAAAAUAUUAUUGAAAAUAAAUAGUGAGAAAUCGUCUUUAUGAAUUAAAAAUUUAUAAAAUAUUAGGUCAUGUUUAAUAAUUAUUUUUUAAAACACUUCUAAAAAAAUAAGUGAAAACAACAUAAAAUAACUAAAAAAUGUUCUCUCUCUAUUUUCUGUUCUUAAGAAUAAAAAAUAAAAAAUAGUUUUUUGUCAUCAAAUGUGUUUUCGUGCUUUUUUUUGUUUUUAAAAUAAGAAAAUCGUUCUUAAAAACAAUUACGACACAAUUCAUUAUUUUUUUCAAAUCAUUAUGAUUUGUUUAAUAUUGGAUAAAGAAAUUAAGGUUAUGUUUGAUUCUAAAAAAACUCGAGAGAAAAAAAUUGGAAAGAAAAAGUAUAAAGAAAUAAAAAGAGAAAGAAAAUAAAAAUUAAACUUAAAGUUAACAACUUACUUGUAUAUACUACUUUAAACUCAUUUAAUUUAUUUUAAUUAUUUGAUAAAAGAUUAAAUAAUUUUAAAUGUAUAAGUUUCUAACUAAUUUUAAUUAUUUUUCAUUUUUUGGUAUUUUUUUAUAAGACAACCAAAUGCGGGAAAAAUUAUUUUUAGUUAAGUUAUAUUUGGUUUCUGGAAAGUACUAAGAAAAUAAAAAAUAAAAAAAAUUAUAUUUAGUUGUACUAUAAAACAUAGUAAAGAAAGCUAAAUAUUAAUGUCCAAGGAAAAUAAUUUUUUAUAUUACUGUCACAUUCCCGUUCUUAAAAUAUAUUGAGGGAAGAAAAAAAUGUCUAAGAAAAAUGAUUUUAUCAUAUUUGGUUUCUUUGUGAAAUAUAUGAAAGAAAAUCAAAUAUAGUUAAAAUUAGUUAGAAAUUUAUACAUUUUUAACUUACUAAAUCUUUCAAAGAGAAAAAAUAUGUUAAAUGAAUUUGAAAUAGUAUAGAAAAAAUUUAUUAAUUUUAAUUUAGUUUUUGUUUCCUUUUAUUUUUACUCUCUAUUUUCUUUCCCACAAACAUAGUAUAAAUUAGUAAGAAAGUAUUAAAAAAAAUCAAAUAUUAUUAAAAUCAAUUAAAACUUUUAUACCGAUGAGUAAAAUAAGGAAAUGGGUUUGAAGUAAUAAAUAAUAAUAAUUUAUUAGAUUUAAAUUUAAUUUCAAUUUUUCUUCACUUUUUUUAUGUGCUCUUCUUAUUUUCUUUUCCUUAUAUUUUCCCUCAAUUUUUAUUGGGAAUCAAAUAUAACCUUUUUUUUUUCUUUCACUAUUUUUUUCCUUUUACAUUUCCUUUCUAUUAUCUUUCCCUUGAAUUUUCCCUCCUAUUUUUUUGAAAACCAAACAUGACCAAACAUUUUUUUUUUCUAUUGUUUCCCUAGUACUUUGCAUGAAGCAAUCAAAACCUAUUGGUAAUUACUUCAUCUAUGUAUAAAUAAAUAGUAAAAUAAAAGGGAAAAAAUAAAGUAAAGAAAAAUGAAAAAUAGAUUUAGACUAUAUUUAAUUCUCAAAAAAAUUGAAAGGAUAUACAAAGAAAAGAAAAGAGAAAGAAAAAAUAAAAAUAAAUUUAAAUUAAUAAAUUAUUUUUAAUUUCACUUAUUUAAUUCAUCAACAUAAAAUUUAAAUAAUUUGAAAAUAUAUAAGUUUUUAGCUAAUUUUAAUUAUAUUUGAUGUUCUUUAGUAUUUAAAAUCAUUUCCUUCAUGUAUUUGUUUCUUUCCUUAAUACUUAUUGGAAACAAACAUAAUCUUAAAAUUUUAAAAUUAUUUUUUAUAGUUCGAUAAACUCAUUUAACUUAUAUUCAAUUAACUAAUUCUAAAUAUAUAAAUUUCAUAUUAAUUUUAAUUAUUUUAAAUUUUAUUUUUGUAUUUUUCAUUAUGAUACCAUAUAUAAAAAAACUAUUUUUCUUAACAUUAUUUUCUAUUUUUUGAUAAUUUUCAGAGAUCAAACAUAAUCUACCAAACUAAAUAGCUCUUAACGAGAUACCUCUUUUAGUUUCUUCUUCUCAAAGUAAAAACUAAAAACUAUCUUAUAUUAAAAUAAAAAAAUAAAAUUGAUUUGAAUUUUUUGAAAAAUUACUAAAGUAAAAUUAUAGAAAGAAAAAAAGUUGCUUAGAGGUUAAUGUUCUUGUGGUUCCACCAUGUAAUCAAUACACGUGCGUUACAGAGGAUUAUUCCUCUCCCAAAGGGUGUAGACCGUGAGAGGCACUUAUUUUUGUUAUUUCAUCCAACUUACAGGGUCAUUUUAGUAUUUUCGUAUUUUCUAGAAAAUUCAAAGCACCACCAGCUUUGUUAAGACUCCAUACUUGAACACACAAAUUAAAAAUAUAUUUAGCAGAAAUAACAUUUUAUUUUUUCUAAAAAAAAAUCAAAAUACUUAAAAUAUUCAUUCCUUUUAAUGGAUAAAGCAUUAAAACCUCUUAAAUUACUUUUUUGAACCAAAAUUUUUUAGAAAAUGAUUUUGAAAGCAUAUGGUAAUUAAAAAUAAAAAUGGGAUAUAAAUUAGAAGAAGAAAAAUGAAGGUUCAAUGGUGAAGAGAGGGAAGCGUGGGGUUGGAGUAUUAGAAGUACAAAAGUGAGAAUGGUCAUAUUUUAAGCUGACACGCCAUUUUAUUUGAGGCUUUCGUAGGUUGAAUUCUUACUCCAAUUAAUGGAUUUUCUGACCGCAACUCGUUAGCUUCCCCUCAAAUCAAAUAUAAAAUAUUAUUUUAAUUAGGUAAAUUAUAGUGGGCUUGUUUUGUUUUGUUGAUUUGUUCUAUACAUAGGUUAUUUUUUAAAAUAAAACUUAGGUUUUUUCGUAUUUUUAAAGUUUUAAACAAUAAUUAAAAAUACGGAGAAUCAUAAAAAAAAUUUAGAAUUAUCUUCAAGCACCGUGAGAUAAGUUUUAUAAAAUUGGAAUCCGGUUUGAUUAUAAUUUUAAAAAAUGGUUUUAACUUUUCUAAUAUUUGAAAAACUUUAUCGUGUUAAAAAAACUUAAAACAUUUUUAUAAAAUUAUUAUCAAACACACUUUAAGUGUAUUUAAGAGUGUUUAUAUUUAAAAAUGUUUUUAGGGAAAAUAUUUUUUGAGGAAGUGUUUUUAGGAUAAUCAUAUAUAAAGUGUUUUUUCAAAAAAAUAUUAUAAGUGAUUUUCUAACAUUAUAAAUAAUAUUUCAAAAUUUUUUAAAUAUUUCUAAAUUUUGUUAAACACUAAAUGUUUUUGUAAAAGCACCUUCUAGAUUAAAAAUGCUUCCUAAAUCAUUGAUAUAUCGACUCUUAAUUAGUGAUGUUUAAUCCUAAAUUGAAAUAGAAAUGAAAAUAAAAGAGUUAUUUAUAUAAGUUAUCCUAUUCCAUCUCAUGCAAAUCAUGAAUUAUCAAAAAAAAAAAAAAAAGAAAGAAAGAAAGAAAGAAACACCUAAAAAAAAAAAAGAGGAAAAGUGUUUAAGGGCAUAUUUAACAAUGUUUUCAAAAAUUAUUUUUAAAAAAUUAAAAAUAGUUUUAAAAACAAUUAUCUAGUAUUUUUUAGAAGAAAAGUUUGUUGGGAAUUUAAAAAAAUUUCAACUUAUUUUCUAUGUUUUUAAAAUAUUUAAAAAAUAAAUUUUAUAUGUAAUGCUUUAUUUUCAAUUAUUUUUCAUAUUAUUUGUUUCAUUGUCUAGAAAAUAAAUAAAAAUAAUUAAUAAAAUAUAUUAUUAGAAAAUACUAUAUUUUUCAGUUUUUAAUAAUUAAAAAUUAUUUUAUAAUUUAUAAUUAUCAAAUAUAUAUAUUUUUUAAUUUUUUUUUUCUCAAUGUUUUUGGAUUGACAAACAAACCCUAAAAUACCCUAAUCCAAAAUAGAUGUGAAGUUACAAAGUCCUAAGAGCUUGGAUCCAAACUUGGAUAUAAAAAUCAUACUCCAAAGUCCAAACCAUGAUUAUGAGAUUCUAAUAUUUAGGUAAGAUUAUGAACUUGUUUCAUUUGGUUAAGAAAUGCUUGUUAAAUGAUACAAAUUCUCAUAAUAAAUCUACAAUAAUAAUAAUAGUCAAAAUUAUAUUUAAUAUAUAAAAUUAAGAAUAAAAUUUACCCAAUCCAAAGGUGACAUGUGUAAUAAAAAUAAAUAAGAUAAAAUUCCCAAUUAAAAUAUCCACACAAGAAAAAAAGUCUCAUAUCAAAGUUAGAAUCAUAUUAAUAAAAUAGAAGAUUUUGAAAAGAUUUUAGAUUUCCAAUUUUUGUAUACAUAUACUUAAUAACUACAAAACCCUUUUUUACAAAUCUUUCUUUAAUAUUGUUUUAAAAAAUAGUUUUAAAUUGUUUUAAGAAUAAAAUUUUAUUUGAAAACUCAAAUAUAAAAACUAAGGACCUAAUUUGGUAACUGUUUUCAAAAAUAAUUUUAUGUUUUUCAAAAUAAAAAAACUGGUAAAUAUAUUUGAUAAUUAGAAAAUUGUUUUCAAGAAUAAAAUAUAAAAAGUGUUUUCAAAGAAUAUAUUUUAAUUGUUUUUAAUUAUUUUCACUUGUUUUUUUUUAUAGUUUUUUUAAAAAAUAAUUAUACAAAAAAGACCUUUAGACAUAAAAAUUAUUUUUAAAACAUAUUUGAAAAUAUUUAAAAUAGAUUAAAAAAAAUUUAGGUUCUUAAAUGGAUUUUUGUUUUAUAAAAAUCAUAAAAAAGUUUUCAAAAACUGUUAUAAAAAACUUUUUUUUAGAACUAUUUAAAAAAAAACAAAUUACCAAACAACACCUAAUUUUCUUCACUUAUAAUGCAAAUAAUUUUAAAAUAUUUUUUCACAUUUUUAAUAAUUACUUCGAAAACUCUACAAAAGAAAAAUUAAAAAAUCCUCAAAUUUGUUCUAAAAAAUCACCUGUUUUCAAAACAAAUCUUCAAAAAAUUAUUUUUGUUAUUAAAAGUUUAGCAAACAUGAUUUUUGAAUUAAAAAUUUAUUUUCUAUCUUAUAAAACAAAAGGUGUUUUGAAGAAUAAGUUUCAAAUGCACCCUUAAUAUUUUUAUUAAAAUGUGGUUUUUAGACUCAAUUUUUUUAAGGGAACCAUGCAUCACGUGUUGGUCAUUUCCUUGUUAAAAUAAAAGAGUGGUGACUUGUUAAUUGAAAAUGUUGGUAUGGGUAUGGGUAUGGGGUAUGGGGGUAUGGGCUUAAUAUAAGAAAUGUUUUUAUGUUGGAAGAAAGAAUAUGGUCACAUGGCAUAGCACAUUGGGUUGGUACCAUUAUCUUGUAUGUAUUUCAAGACCCCUUGCCGACCUUACCUACCAACUUUCUUCACAUUAUUUUGCCUUUUGCUAAGUGCUUACCUCGAUCUAUCUUUCCCCUUAUGUAUUUCAAGGUACCAUUUUUUAAAAAUAUUUUUUAAAAUAUAUGGCAACUUUGAACCUAUUUUCAAAUCUAUUAUACUAUUUAUUGCAUCAAUUGAAAAUUAUUUUUUUAAGAGAUAACUUCAAAAUCAACCUGUGGACCCCGCAUUUCGGCUUAAUGCGUUUCCCACUCGAAUGACAAAAAAUGAUUUAAUUGUUGAUUAAGAAAAAUGACUUGGAGUCGCCACUUAUUUUUGUUUUAUUUUUAAAGGGUAAACAAAAUAAGAAAGAAAACCCUAAGUAUGACUCCUUAUUUUGGAAAAGGUGAUCUGCGAAAAACCGGAUCGGGUUCGGGAGUCAGGUUGCUUAUCAGGAAGGUAUGAUAAAAACCGUAGCACCCUUCUAAGUCCCUAAAAACGGGUCUCUACUAAUAAAAUGAAGUUGACAUGACAAUUGAUAAGGAAAUCAAUGAAUACCCGGAACUAUCAUGCACAUAUGAGUAUCAUAAUAUGUAUAGAAAAUAAUCAGAAUAUGAGCGAAUGCGUAUCUGGGUAGCAAACGGCAACGCGCUAUCACGAAACAUGGUUAGUGAACAAUGAACAGAUAUAAUUAAGCGCAUAUCAAGGAAUAGAGUAAACCAAUCAUGCAUGGCAAAUAAAUCAAUCGAUCAGUCAAUCAAUCAUGAAGUCAAGUAUAUGGGCCCCCCACCAAAGCCUGUUUUAUCUUGCCUGAAUCAAUUCCGAUAACUCCAUUGUUCGGAAUUACAAAAUUUUAUUCCUUUCUUAUUUCAAAAACAUUUUAAAAACAAAGGAAGUAUGAAAAAUUUCUUGUCAAGAAUAAAAGUGACAACAAAGCUUUAUUAAAAAUGCGAUUUUGGAACCUAAAGAAAAUGCUCUAAGGAUGAAGAAAAAUGUGAAACGUCGGCUGGAUAGAAUUCCGGAUGUGAGACAUCCGGAGAAGGUGGAACGUCGACGGAGAGGAAUUCCGGGUGUGAGACACUCGGGGGAAUGGCGGCGGAGAAGGAUUCCGGGAAUGAGACACCCAGAUGGAAUGGCGGCAAAAAAGGAUUCCGAAUGUGAGACAUCCGGAUGGAAUGGUGGCGUAGAAGGAUUCCGGGAAUGAGACACCUAGGGGGAAUGGUGGCGCUGCAGGAUUCCGGGAGUGAGACACCCGGGGAAAUGGCGGCGGAGAAGGAUUCCGGAUGUGAGACAUCCGGAUGGAAUGGCGGCGGAGAGGAAUUCCGGGUGUGAGACACCCGGAUGGAAUGGCGGCGCAGAAGGAUUCCAGGAGUGAGACACUUGGAUAAGGUAGAACGUUGUUAUGAGUAGCAUGAAGGAUAGGUAUGGGUUGUAUGGAUACGGAGGCUUGGGUAAGUGGUUUUAAUGGGUAUGCGAAAGAGUGAAGGAUAGCAUGCACCCGGGAGACUCCAUGUAAGUGAGGGAGUGGGAUGGGGAAUGAAUGAGAGACGAAUGGGUGUGGUGGAGGAUGCCUGAUUCCUGUAAGCUUGAGUGAGGAAAUGGGUGUGACGACCUAGAGAGAGAGGUGGAUGAACGAUGGGUAUGGGGAUGCUGAUGAGGUGAGCUUUGCUGCCACGACGACUACCCCAGAUUUUCUAGGAUCUCCUUCAAGCAGGGAUGAGAAAAUGGAUGCGUACCAUGGACGGAUAUCAAGAGCAGAGGAGGAUAACAAAACAGAGCACAAAGAGUAGAUACAAGAAAAUGAGUCCGACAAGCUAUGCUUCAUAUCAUACCAACAAGUUUAGAUGAUGAUGGGUAAGAUUAAAUGAGUAUCAAAUGAAAGGUAAAACGUGGUUACAAAAAUACCUCAUGGAGAAAUCAAAACCAGAGCAAACUAAACCACUACAAAACCAUUAGCAAAAAUAUGGACGUAUUCACUCCCAAUCAACAAUCAUCAUCCGAGAAUCAAUAAAAACAUAGUAGAAAAGCACACCAAUAGAAGCUGACGAAGAAUACACAAUAAACAUACCUCAAAAUAACUCUCUCCAGCUAGGUGGGCAAGAAAUCGGGCAGCUAUCCUUCCUCUCAAGCAACCAGCCAAGGAACCCUCUUUCCCACUAGUCCUCUCAAGCUAAAACUCUCCCUCCUCUGUUCCUCCUCCCCUUUUCUUCUCUUCUUGGAAUCACCUUCCUUAGCAAGUCACCAACUGCCUCCUCCUGUUCAUGCAUUAGCCAGUAUGGCCUGCCCAACUACCCUCACUGUUGUUGCACGCUUCAUGCAGACAACAUCAAGCUCUCAGUUGGGGGUCCCCUACCCUUUCUAAAAAAUGUAAUCCCAAACCCAGAAAAAUCCGCUCCCCUCCUCCUGACAAAAAGCUCCUCUCUAACAACCAAAAAGCUCCUCCGAGUCUCCUCCAACAAGUGUCUCCACCCCAUUGCAUUUCCAAACCACUACUUGGUUCACUGACCACCCAACCAGGAAGCAACAUUUGGCUCUUUAAGAGCCCUCCACUUGGCAAAAAGCGUGACCUGUAGCAAAUGAAAAAAAAAACGAGCCCCAUAUGGGGGUCUACACAAUCAUAAUUAUCUUUUUGGGAAAAAAUUUGAAAAUAUUUUUUGAAUGAUCAUGUUUAAAUUAUUUUUAAAUUAUUGUAUUACCCUAUGUAAAUAACAACGAAAUAAAGUUUUGGAUUCAUGACAUAUUAUUUACUACAUGUUAACUCCUCAUGAACCGGUGUAAUCUAAUAAGGAAUAAAAUGAUAAUAUAAAAAUCAUUAUUAAUUAUAGAUUUAUAGAUAUGAAUCUUAUACCUGAGUUUGAAUGUUCUCAAAUUAAUUUCUUAUAGUGAAAAACAUGUCUGAAUGGUCUGAAGGGUUUAUACACCAAAGAUCUUCCAUUUCGAUGACUCAAACCAUGGGCUUUAAAAGGGUGGAAACCUUGAUUCUCUCUUUAUUGUCCUAAUUUUAACUCUAAACUAAUUUUUGGGUUAUUUUUCCUUUUCAUUAUCUAAGUGAGUCACAUAUAUUUCUUCGGUCUACUUCUUGUGUACUUCACUAAUGGAAAACAUAUUUAUUAGUGACACAAAGCCUCUUUUUUAUAUUUUACAUUGAUAAUAGAUUAUUUAUUUCAACAAACGAUCAUAAUUUCUUACACAAAAAAAUAAAAGGGCAUUGCCAAAAAAAAAAAGUAGCCUCGUUGUAAAGGAAAAUUAGGAAGUCUGUCCUAAAUAAACCCAAAUGAUAAAGUAAAAUUGGACUAAUGUUUACAAUUAUUUAAAUAUGCUAAAUCAAUUACCACUCACAUUACUAAUUAUAAUAUGAAAGAAUGAUAUAAUCAUACUUAAAAAAGAAAAAAAAAGUACCGUUGAUUAUAUUUUUUAAAUAUAUUUUCUCGUUCUCUUUUAUUUGUAUCAUGAUCUCAUCUAUGUAUAUCAUUAUCCAACGAUCCAAACUUUAAAUAAUCUGAAUUCAAAGUUAAUCGAUUUUAAUAAGAUACUUCAAUAUUUUUCUGAGUAAUAGAUUCAAAAUUAUAUGAUAUUUUGAACAAUAUCAUGCUUGAUGGAGAAGUUUUUAAUCUUCAAGUCCCAAAUAGUAUCAAAAACAAUCUCUAUUCUAAAAUGUUUUUGAAUCAUUGGGUGGAUAUAAUCUAUUUUACUCUAACCACUACUUAAAAAAAGAAAAAAUCCAUUCAAUAUCAUAUGUGAAAUUAGUAGGUGACAAAGAAAAAGACAUGCAACAUGUUCUUGAUAAAAAAAUGCUUCCUAUAAUUGUUUAUCUCAGAACUGAACUCAAAGAACGCUUGAAGGAGAAGACCAAGGCAUGUGCAGCACAUUCCAAUUUUAAAGUUGUUUAUCUUUCUUAACGGUUCAUAGAUUUUUAUAAUGCAAAGAAUGAAAGAAGAGAUCACAAGACUUGAGGAAUCUGUCAGGAAAAAAAUGUUUUCAGAACAUAUAUUAACACAAGUAUCCCAUACAAACUAAUAAUAUAAAAGACAGUACGUAUCAACCAAGAUUCAAUGGUGAUUUGGCACCAAGUCAAUCAGUCUUGUCUUCCUAUUUUUAAUUUGAAUUUGAAUGAAUUAAGCAAACAUUUUAAAUGGAUGAGUUUAAGAGGAAAGGACCUUCCCCAGUUGACAUCUUUCCCACUGCUUUCUUGGGAAAAUCUUGUUGUGGAAAGCAAAAGCAUAAAAGAAGACAAGAAAGUGGGUUAGAAGUGAAUGCAUGACUCCAUGGCUUAGCUCUUACUUACAUGUAGUACAGAGUACAGAAGGCCAAAAAUCAAAACACCCAUGACCUUCUAGACCUGCUCCUUUGUUUUCUACUUCACACUUGAUGAUGACCUUCUGGACGUAUUCCUUGUUU